rnacentral:RNase_P_RNA from 1 species
GGAGUUGGCCAGACAAUCGCUGCCUUAUACUUGUUAUAAGGGGGAGGAAAGUCCGGGCUCCAUAGGGUAGGGUGCCAGGUAACGCCUGGGCGGGUUAAACCGACGACAAGUGCAGCAGAGAGAAGACCGCCAACCGUUGUUUCGACAGCAGUUGGUAAGGGUGAAAGGGUGCGGUAAGAGCGCACCGUGUGCCUGGUAACAGUGCAUAGCAAGGUAAACUCCACCCGGAGCAAGACCAAAUAGGUCUCCAUAGUUGCGACCCGCAGCGGAGACGGGUAGGUUGCUUGAGCCUGUGAGCGAUUGCAGGCCUAGACGAAUGAUUGUCCACGACAGAACCCGGCUUAUCGGCCAACUCCCACU